rnacentral:lncRNA from 1 species
GAGCACCAGGGUCCCCCUUGAGAGACUCCGGGUGUGUUCUGCACAUCUCUAGGAUGAUUUCCCUUAGGAAGUUGGCGAGUACCAGGGUCCCCCUUGAGAGAUUCCGGGUAUGUUCUGCACAUCUCGUAGAAUGCCUUGAUCGUCGCCCUGCGUCUCCCGUAGGACGCUACUUAUGGGCAACUGUGUGACUAUCCUGCCUCCCUUAGGAAACGGAUAGGAACCUGGAUAUUUCCCGCAGGAAGCAUGGCGACCCCCUU